CUGGGGGACUGGGUGGGGGGCUUAGCUCUUGCUCCUGCUUCAUCUCCAAAGCUGUUGACUUCACAAAAGAAAAAGGCUGGAUUAAUUCAGAGAUGUUUGAUUGACCAGUGUCAUGAAGACUACCUUCUGUGAUCCAUGACGGAUGGAGAGCUGGUGUCUCGCAUGAGGAGUGAUGAGGCGUGAUAUUCAGAGUGUUCCUGUUGAAGGACUGCAAGACAACAAACUAUCUGAAUGACGUAAUGGUGACCUCUCGUCAGUAUGACCUGCACAUGCCUGUUCUACAUGACAUAAAGUCGCAUACAGACCAGAAGACUAAAAGUCAUCUAUGUUUUCCAUUACUUCUUUUCAGAGAUUUUACCAGAUUCAGAACUUUAUGAAAUUUAAGCUGUCCACUUUGACAGAAGCUAAGUAUAGCUUCACUGUCCAGUGUCACCCAGAGAAGGAUUGGGUCCUCCUUUUGAGUCAUGGUUCAAGGUUUCUGUUGCCAUGGGCUUGUGCAUUGUAUCACAUAAUACCUGUACUUUGUAUGCCAUUUUGAACACUGUUUGUGGGAGU